UAACACGCAGGGUUGCGAGGCCAGGAGUGCGUCUCGUCCAAAGAGGCCGCAGUGGCCUUAGCCACUCUCGGACCGCUGUUCUUAGAUUCCUCUCUCAGCUACACUGAGAAUCUGCUUUCCGCGUCUGACUUGCUUUAAAUUCUCGCUCCCCAGCCAAAACCUAAACAAAGAUUCGGGUUACAUCUCUUUCAGCGGCGCGCGGGAGGGGAAGCAGAGGUCUCCUGGGUUCCCAAGCUUUAGUCCUUCUGAAAUGCGCAUCGGUGGGUCUAUCUCCAUUGGCGAAAAGUUUUCCCGUUAAGAUAAAGAAGGGGCAUCUGAGCGACUAGAUUUGAUUUGCGACUAGAUUUGGAAUCAAGGAUACAAGGAAGACGAAAGUAUGUUACUCACGAAUGUUGCUUUUAUUUCAUUCUAGACAAAAGUCUCUGCCUUAGAUGGAGGCGUCCAUUGCUGCUGCGCACUCCCGUGCUAGAGUGUGUGCGUGUGCGUACAAGUAGGGGGUAGGAGUAAUUUUGCUCUGGAUUGGAAGUGUAGGAGCUUUUUUGUUUGUUUGCUUGUUUGUUUUUUAAAUGUCUUUGUAAGUUAUCACUUCGUUUAUAGAAGAUAAAUUUUGCAAGAAGUUAUACUUAAAUGACGUUUAUUUCCUAUUUGUCCUUUUAGAUAAACAAAAUCGAAACAUUUGGAACUUAAGUAAUAUAAAGACAUCUUGGAGUCUUUAUUUUUAUCAAGACUUGUAACAAAACCAUGCUUUGUUACUUCAAUUAGACAGAAAUAUGUGCAGUAAAACACAAGGAUAGGAAAUCUCACUCCCUUGUCUUACUUGUGCGGAAGAUGAAGUGAGACUCUGCCCGGACCUGCGGCCAGCGGAGGGGCGGGCAGUGGACGGGUGGACACACUUUCCCGGAUGAACUCAGCCUGGGACCAAGCAAAGACUGCAACUCCGGGUUUCCUUUGAUCGCCCCCUUUCCUCCUUAGACACGGGACUUGAACAUACACCAUCUCUGCUUUCCUUUUCAGAGGUUACUCACACGUUCACACUAGCAUUCUCUAGCCGGUCCCCAACAGGAGAUCUCCUUUAAAUUUAGCAUGGAAUAAGAGAAGAGGGACCUAAGAUUUAGAGUAACCUAUAUUCUGGUGGCACACUGAAGGAUUCGGGUUUGGACUGACUGCCUGAAAAGCUAAACUGUGUGUUUUUUUGUUUUGUUUUUUCGUCAAAAGCAAAACACAGGAUUGGGUGAGGGAAUCCACAUAAUAAUGUAUUUUCCAUAAGCUGCUGCUAGGAGAUGACCCUCUGGAAUGGAAACAGACUGCUGCGGAACGCUGGCUCCAGCAGGCCGCAAGUAGGACCGAUCUCCUGGAAGAGGAAUUAACUAGAAUCUAGCGUGGAGAUUUACUUACAGUCCUUCGUGCUAAGAGGCUUCCGGGCUUAGAGAAGGAGGACGUCGUCAGUCUGCUGCAGAAGAUCUAAACGGCUGGUCUGCGUCUGCCUGCUCCUGGCGCCCGGCGCGACCGCGACCUCACCCGCGGCAUAAUUGCGUGUGUCCAGCGCGCUCCCCGGGCUGUCCCGUGGCGAACUGGGGCUCGUUGCUCCUCGGAUCAGGCCAAGAAAAAGUUCGUCUUCUGUUCUUCCCAAGUUAAGUGUUUUAGAUACAAGUCACAAAACACUUUUCUUUAAAAAAAAAAAAUGAGAAUUUUUAGCCAUGACUGCAAAUGAGACCAGUUUUGAACGAAACACAGUAAAAUAUAUAUAUGCAUAUAUAUUAUCUUGCCUGCCGGUAGAUGGGAAAAUAAAUCGGCCGUGCCUUGUUGGUGCCUUCCUAUUGGACUGAAAUUUGCAGGAACCACCGCUCAUCAAAUGAAAAUCAGAAGCGGAAGGCCCACUUAGGGGGUCUACCAACAUCCUUGAUCCCGUGGCUCCGUUCACGGAAUGAAUGGAGUUGGAAAGAGAACCAGAGAGAACUCCAAAGACGUCUGGUCCGGGGAUGUGCGGCUCACACUAAAUGUGUCCUGCUAAAACCCAAGGUGUGCGGGAAGCGGUCUGGAUCCCGUCGUGCCAGGCCUUGGUUCAGGGCUGGAGAAAGAGAGAACCCCAACCUACCCGACCCCCACAGCUUCCACCUCGGCGAAGACCUGCCUAAUUGAGCAGUGAGCAGCUGCUAAAUGUGCGGUCUACUAAUGACCCACCUCCUCGGCGACUCCUAUUCAAGGCAUAAAACUGAUAUUUUCACACCCGGAUCGCACGGCAGGAGCCGUUUAUAAACAUCCUGCAUCCGUGGAAUGAAGAAAAAAAAAAAAAAAGCUGCAUUGACAGGGGUCUCUGGAGCUCGGUAUUUAAAAGCUAUAGAUCCGAAUUAGAAAAUUAUUACUUUAAGCAGAGAAAAUACCCACCAACUUAACUAUUGAACUGCACGUCUGAGCUCCUGGCGCUAUCUACGGGUCUGGAGGAACUUAUCCUGGAGCUUGCGCGGAAGGCAGGCCAUCCACUGGCUCUUGGCUUCUAAAGCUGUCCCCUGGGGGCUGCGGUCCUCCAGAGGGCUGGCGUGGGCUAUCCUGGGUCACAUCUACAAAGACACAACUAGGACCUGGGGAGAAAGCCUAGGCGAAGUAGCCACAGUGGCCUGAGCUUGUGGGUGCUUCGCUUUCUCCAACCCAAGAACCGCGCCAGGGCGCAGUCGGCCCAAGGACUGUCCGCUGAGGUAGGGGAAUGUGUGACCUUGGCUCCCGAGAAGGAACUGCCAGUGUCCCUAAAGUGAAUGCUCAGCUAUGAUCGCCACCAAACUGCAUGUGUGACACGUGGCUGUUGACUGUGUCUUUGAUUGUUGCCCACCUCGUUUAUCGUGGAUAGGAGUCUGGAAAGUGUUUGAAGAAGGAAGAAUGUCCAGAGGUACUUUCUGCUAAAAGCGUGCCUCUGGGAUCCUGUGUCCCCAUUCAGUGGCACAGAGCAGGAAACCUGCUCACCUUUGGGACUCACUGAGCCCAGACUCUUAGACUUCGUUACCCACAGCGCCAGGGAACAGCAGAGGCGCGACUAUUCUCGAAAGUGAAGGUCACCAAGAUGAUAUCUGCCGGGGUCUGAGAUCUACUGCUAGCUGAGGCUGAGCCUGGGGAGUGGGGGAGGGGGACUUUCUUGAUUGACUGCACCAGGGACACUCGGGACACCCUGGUGUGCAGACCAGUGCUCCUCCCCUUGGCCCUGAGCGACACCUCCAGGUCUCAAGGAAGACAAACUCUGGAGAUACACGGAGGGAGAGCUAGGUUCUGAUUAACCAGAGCCUGCACGCGUGCACUAGUUCUUGGUAGAGUAUCAGGAAACCCGGGCCACUUACCGGACAGAGAAAUGAAGCGAGAAAAUAACUCCGGGCCACGAGGAACCCGAAAUUAGGGGAGGGGCGGCCUGGAAGACUCCUGGGUUAAACGUUAGCACGCAAUUCCAUUAACACAUUGUGACAUUCACAAGCCCACAGUCUCGCUUUAAGCACGCCUGUGGUUUGGAGUCGCGGUGUUCUGUGCCUUUUCUCGUGACCAAUAAAGCAGGAACCACGGAAACUUGA